rnacentral:rRNA from 1 species
GGACUACCAGGGUAUCUAAUCCUGUUCGCUCCCCACGCUUUCGCGUCUCAGCGUCAGUACCGUACUAGAGAGCCGCCUUAGCCACGGGUGUUCUUCCCGAUAUCUGCGCAUUUCACCGCUACACCGGGAAUUCCACUCUCCUCUUCCGGACUCUAGCCAUACGGUUUCCACCGACAGCUCGAGGUUGAGCCUCGAGUUUUCACAGCAGACCUGUAUGGCCGCCUACACGCUCUUUACGCCCAAUAAAUCCGGACAACGCUUGCCCCCUACGUAUUACCGCGGCGGCUGGCAC